UCCCCUUCUUUCUCCUCUUUCUUCUUCCCAGCCCGAUACUCUUUCUUUUCUUCUCUAGCAUUUCAGUCGGCCAAACUAGAUGAGCCAUCUCUGGCCACCACCCAAUGACACGCACCCCACCACGAGCUUCCUUGGCCCCCGAAACCGCCAACCCGUGAAGCUCGCCUCCCCACUCGCCGGCCUCCUUCGCGACUGGCUCCUCAAAGUUCCGUCGCCAUUGUGAGUUUGGAGGAUUUUUCUGGCCUCCACCAUGGACGAUGAAGGCUCCUACUGGCGACAACGAUGGCGAAGGUGACGGCGAUGGCGAAGCCUCCUGAGCUGGUGAAGUUCUCAGGCGUGGGUGGUGCUGCCACUCUCUUCAUGGAUCAAGGAGGAUGAUAAGAUGAUUCAAGCUGAGGGAGUGGAGUCCCUUUCAGAAAAAGAGCUUAUUUCAGCCUGUCAAUAAUGAGGCAUACUUGGAAAACUUUUAGUAGAGGAAAUGCGAGAAGAGGUUUGAGCUUAAUCUAGACUUCUUUAGUUUGUUCAUUGAUUGAAGAUAGACUGAAACAUGUCUAUUAAAUUUAUCACUUAUGGUUCAUGAAUACUAUAUUUUCAUGGUGAUUUCACCUCAUUUGUUACUGUCAGGGAUAUCAAUAAGCCAAUGUAAGCUUUGACUAGCUGCAACCUCUUCUAAACAGCCCAUAGUUAUAUCAUCAGCUUACGUUUGUUUGAUGUUUGAAGUAUACUAUAACGAACAAUAUACAUCAUAUCUUAUUAUAUAAUGCUGAUAUGGAUCUAUUUUAGUUUUAUCUUUUUUGAAACUCUAACUUCAUGUUAAAGAUCAAUAGCUAAUAAAUUUCUAAACAGGCUUUUUUGAAAGCUUU